rnacentral:rRNA from 1 species
UACGUAGGGUGCAAGCGUUGUCCGGAAUUAUUGGGCGUAAAGAGCUCGUAGGCGGUCUGUCGCGUCUGCUGUGAAAACUCAGGGCUUAACCCUGAGCUUGCAGUGGGUACGGGCAGGCUAGAGUUCGGUAGGGGGAGACUGGAAUUCCUGGUGUAGCGGUGAAAUGCGCAGAUAUCAGGAGGAACACCGGUGGCGAAGGCGGGUCUCUGGGCCGAUACUGACGCUGAGGAGCGAAAGCGUGGGGAGCGAACAGG